rnacentral:tRNA from 1 species
GGUCUUAUAGUAAAAUUUUAAUAACAUUAGAUUGCAAAUCUAAAGAUGUGUAAAACACUGGGGCUU